AACACCCGGGCUUUUCUUUUAAGGGUAAUUUAGGAAAUUGUUAUUACUAAUUAAAUUAAUUAAUUAAUUAAUUUAAUAAAGUGGAAGAGGGGUAAAAGUGUAAUUUUACGAAUAAAUACCCUAGGUAUAAAUUAGAAAUUUUAUUCUUUCCCUUCUUUUCUGAAUAGAGUUCCUGUUCGCAGAAUUCCAGAGAACGUAAGGUUGGUGUCAGAUUUCAGGGUUGAAGAACAGAUCUCUAUAGGUGAAGAGUAGAUUAUAUUUUUUCAGAAUUAUUCUUCUUCCAAGCUUUCAAGGACUUCUUUUGAGGUACUCUUAGUUCGGGUGAGGAGUGAUGGCUAGGCUGAGGAAUGGUCAUCAUUAGGAUUUGACUUAGGAUUUUAUGUUGGAUUUUGUUUAACUAUUAGUUAUGUUAUUUUGGAUCAUUUGGUAUUUGGAAGUUAUUUGGAAAUUGAACUUUGAGGAUUUUAGAUUUUGUUUCCGCUACUCUGAGCAGGUAUUUGGUAAUUGGUAACAUCCAGUUACAACAUGACUGUUUGGGUCAGAUUAUACUUUAAGCCUUCGGGUUUGAGGUGUGAAAUGACCGUCACGCCCUUGGAGUGGGUCUUGGGGCGUGACAGAGUGGUAUCAGAGCACUAGGUUGUGAUCUUGAUGGGAACUUGUUUGGUGUACCUUUGGGAAUAGAUGAGUGACGUAUUAGUUUAAGUUUCAACUUCAUCUAGUCUGAUUCCUUUUAUUCCUUACAAUUCUGAUUUGCUUAUUUGACUUCUUAGUGACUAAUUUAGUUACACCUAUUGCUUUAUAGGACACCAUGCCACCAAGGAGACCUGCAUCUUCCCAAAACAGUCAGGCUAAUGAUGAUGUACCUCCAGUUGAGGGUUUGCCUCCCGUGAGUGCAGAAGGGAUCUAUAGGUAUCUUGGGACACUAGC